UACGGAGGGGGCAAGCGUUGUCCGGAUUUAUUGGGCGUAAAGAGCGUGUAGGCGGCUUCACAGGUCUGCUGUGAAAACUCGAGGCUCAACCUCGAGCUGUCGGUGGAAACCGUGGGGCUAGAGUCCGGAAGAGGAGAGUGGAAUUCCCGGUGUAGCGGUGAAAUGCGCAGAUAUCGGGAAGAACACCCGUGGCGAAGGCGGCUCUCUGGGACGGUACUGACGCUGAGACGCGAAAGCGUGGGGAGCAAACAGG
rnacentral:rRNA from 1 species